rnacentral:snRNA from 1 species
GUGCUCGCUUUGGCAGCACAUAUACAAAAAUUGGAACGAUACAGAGAAAAUUAGCAUGGCCCUUGCGCAAGGAUGACAUGCAAAUUCGUGAAGUGUUCCAUAUUUUU